AGUUGCACAGCUGCCUGGUAGGUGACUGGAGGCAUUGAGCAGUGCUCACUGGUAUUUCGCUGAUGUGGCCCCAACCCCGCCUCCCUCCCCACCCCGCGAUGUCAGAAAAAACACAACAGGGGAAAUUGGCCGCAGCCAAGAAAAAGUUAAAAGCAUAUUGGCAGAGGAAGAGCCCUGGCAUUCCAGCAGGAGCUAACAGGAAAAAGAAAGUCAAUGGCAGUAGCCCUGACACAGCCACUUCUGGUGGUUACCACUCACCUGGGGAUGUGAGUCUCGGCGGGCCAGGCUCCUGGGGACAGGGGGCCCAAGGGGCAGUAGAGGGUAAUUGUUAAGAUUGUAGAUGGACUGUUGGGUACUGGUUAAGAAUUCUGGAUUUGAAUCCUGCCUCUCCGUCUGCUAAGAAUUGAUUAGGGAUUGAUUAGCAUAUGAUUUAGGGCAAGUUGCUUGAGGUCUUUGGGCCUCUCUUUUCACAUCUGUAUAAUAGAGGUGGUAUUUUUUGACUUCCAUUUGUGAAGUUUAAAUGAGAUUCGUUAU
rnacentral:lncRNA from 10 species